rnacentral:lncRNA from 1 species
CUGAAUUCAAUGCCUCACAAUUGCUGGUUUCAGUGCCUCUCUCAGAGAUAUGAAGUUAAAACCAGUCUCUUCUGGAAUGGAAGAUCUAACUGUGUUUGGCUGCUGUUUCUUCACGAGCUCCUGGGAUCUGGACUCCCCAAGUCAGAAGUGUCAAAACUGUAGAAUGUUCAGCUCUGAUGAGAUAAACUGAGGCUGCUUGGGAGAGAAUUUUUGGAUCUGCCUGGAAUUUGUGCAAUCUGAAAUGAAGACCAUGGAGGCUCUAUGUGAACCACGAGACUAGAAAGAAUGAUGCCCAUUCUCCUGCUUCCAGGAAGGACUGUAUUUUUACACAUAGUAUUUUUGUUCUGACUAUGACAAAAAUACAUACACAUUUUGGAAAGUACAGAAAAUAAUAAAGAAAAUGAAAACAAUCUACAAUUCUACUACCCAAAGAUGAUUACGAUUGGCAUUUGAAAUUUUCUGAGUUUACAAAAAAAUGCCUUUUAUCCUGCCUUUUAAAAAAUGCAUAGCAUUAUAUCUGAA